UAACCUACGGGAGGCAGCAGUGGGGAAUAUUGCACAAUGGGGGAAACCCUGAUGCAGCAACGCCGCGUGAGUGAUGACGGCCUUCGGGUUGUAAAGCUCUGUCUUCAGGGACGAUAAUGACGGUACCUGAGGAGGAAGCCACGGCUAACUACGUGCCAGCAGCCGCGGUAAUACGUAGGUGGCGAGCGUUGUCCGGAUUUAUUGGGUUUAAAGGGUGCGUAGGCGGCGCUUCAGGUCAACGGUGAAAUACCGGGGCUCAACCCCGGGGCUGCCGUUGAAACCGGAGCGCUAGAAUUCCGAUGCCG
rnacentral:rRNA from 1 species